AAUAAAUCACACAGUCUUUAAAAUUUGCUUUACCAAGUACGUCAAAUCUAGUGGAUCACCCACAUCGCCUGGUAGAUGGCAUCCUGACAGAAGCAGGAAGUCACGUGUCUUCAUUGUGUCAGUGGUACGCCGUGAAUUAAGCCGCAGUCUGUGCAGUAUCCUCCUGCGCAUUCAUGAUGUCCUAGUACCGUUGACAUCUGCGCGAUUUAUCUUUCUUCAGCCGGGACAAAUUGAAUUUACUCGCCACAGGAAGGGCUCGUCUGUCAUCCUCCAGACGACGACCGUGUCCGUUUCCUGCUGUCCUGAUUGCGCGUAUGCUCGCACUAUAAAAACAAAACCUGUCUGACGUGACACGGACAAGCGGGUGUCACGUGCGUGUACCGGACAACAGGUGUUUUGAUUCGCGACGAACGUAUGCUUACAGGUAUAUGCAUAUUGUACAUACAGAUUCAUUGCUUAAGUAUUUAAUUAUUGAUUGCGUAUUAGUGAAGGCGUUUUACCGAUGGCGUAUUACUGAUGACGCAUUAGUGAUGGUGUAUGCAAUUAGUGCAUUUGGGGACGCCAUUUUGUAAACAUUCUGUAAGCACAUUGCUUACAGUGCUUCCCAUAAGGGUUUUGUAGAUUAACAUGAAAGUGUAGUACUGUUUAAACAGUGACAGUAUUUUUGAACAUAACUGUGCAAAGGUGAUAGGUUAAGUGACAACCCACUGUACAAAAAUGAUAGGUUAAGGGACAACCCACUGUGACAACCCACUAUGCAAAACUUGAUAGGUUAAGUGACAAGUCUUUAACUAUGAGAGUACUAUUAGCACUGUUUACAGUCCAUAAAGCUACAUAAAAAAAUCAAUGCAAUUCAUACAAGACUAUAUGUAUAGACUUCUCUUCAGUCUCUCCAGUUAAAAAUAAUCGAAUGCGGCACGCGCCGUCCCCUGCGCGCCAGCCAAUAUGCGAGGUACGCACUGCGGACAGUAGUGGUGUAUGAAACAACAACGUCGAUGUUGGUGAAUGCCAGUUACCUUCAGGAGACCAGAAAGUCGACACACGAUCCGUCCACGUAUACGCGAUCAUGGUACCCUGGUAAUGUUCGUGUCUACUCGUCUCUGUCCGUACGACAAGCAAACAUAAUUUACGAGGUCCGCGACCUCUCACGUUCGCAGCCCCGAUGUUGGGGAAUGACGAGCCGAAGCGAGGAAUGCGGCCGUGAAAUGGAGGAGGAUUAAGCGUUCUUGGAUAACAGAAGAUCAUAACGCAGACUGGCUUUCUUUGUGGCCAGGGAUAAUUGAGGAUCUCUGGGAGUCAAGGAAAUUGAUAAGCAAAAAUUCUUUUAGUUCAAAUUAUAUAUUUUCACAUAAUCUAAAAUGUGUCGUACAAACUACAUAGUAUGCUUAUGGUCAUAUGAUGAUAGUGGAUUAUGCAUACUGUAAUUGUUAUUAUAAAUGUAUGAAAAAUUAUUUUUAUGAACGGUUCAAAUUCUUGUCACAUAACUUAAAAUGUCAUGCAAACUACAUACUAUACUUAUGAUCAUAUGAUAGUAGAUUAUGCAUACUAUAAUUGUGAUUAUAAAUGUAUGACAAAUUAUUUUCAUGAACUGUAUGUCUCAGCCUAUGAGACAGAUAAUGACAUAACCUAUAAUUUCCGUCAUUUCUCUUCGUCUUUUAUUUUUUGUUUAAACUGUUUUUUUAAGUUACAUAAUUUUACAGUGACGAUUGCCUUCAAAGCACAAAGUCCUUCAGGACAUGGUUCCCUAAUACCACUGACAUCCAAGCGAUUUGUCUUGCUUCCCCACCAGGCAAUCGCGUUUUACGACAGGGUUUUAUGUGCCUCCGACGAAUGGCGAGGCCCGUUUCCUGUUAACGCUGAAAGCACCGGAAAGGCAGGUCCUGGUGGACCUCGAUGCUUCCAUGCUUCCCUGAUGCUACAAUAUUCCGAAUUGUCAGAAAAAAAGUGCUCGGAAUGUCGGUCGAUUUACCCCUCCUCAUUUGUAUAAUCCACUUAUUUUUUCGGUGAUGAGGAACGUGAAACAUUGUGGCGGAUAUCGUUACAUUAUUUUAAGCUACUUCCUCUUGUAAAUUGUUACAAAGACAACUGUAUAAAUAUUAAUAGUGGAGAGAUAUGAAUGUUUAUUGUAAUGUCCGAGGGGAUGUGUAUUGAUUGGCCUAAGUCUGUGAUUGGCACGAGUGCCUAUUGGAUUUUAUGGUGAUUAUGAACAGCGGUGUGUACAUCUAGAGAGAAGUAUGUCUAAGACCAAGCCUAAGCUAGGACGCAAGAUUAAAUAUUCAUCAUAUACUUCAAUCCUGAAUUGUAAAAGGGUGUCUUUCUGAAACGGUGGAAGUGGAUAUCCUAUUGAACGGCUCCCCCAAGCCGAAGCCACAAAGCCAGCUAGAAUUAACAGCGCACAGUCGUAAAGGGGAAGCAAAUGCCGAUUGACCUCCUCAUCGUCCUACAAGCUGGAUAGAGUUUCUAUGAAUGUUCCGUCGCCGCCCACAACCCUUUCUCGUUUCUUCGCAUUUUGUCUCCUACGAUUUCCGCGGAAUGCGUGGAACGAUCGAGCAUUCAUAAACACCCGUGCGUUCAACUCGAAUCCUCUUGGAGACAAGUGGUCGGGAAAUGGAUUAAAUCGAGGGAGGAAGAGAAGACCACGAAAGCUUGAGAUUCUCGAACGUUAUAACUUCCUGCUCCCUGUCACCGCAUUCCUUUUAUGCGGAGUCACUCGAGCGAAACGACGGAAUUAGAAUUCAUUUGUAUCGUCGUCAUUCUGUCUAAAUAAACCUUUCUCUUGCUUUCGUGCGAUUAAGGACGACGGUUAUGUAUUAUUUAUGAUCUGCUUUUGUGGUUUCAGGAUAUGCUUUGGACAUACUUGGUACAUACGAUAGCUGGUUUUAUCGAUUCAUCUAUUACCAAGGGUUUAUUUGGAUUUGUUAAGAUGCUUUGGAGAUAUUAUCAGCUAAUCGAUAGCAUGAAGCACUUUAGGGAUGUGAGAUAUGAAGUACGAGGUAUUCCUUCAAAAGCAAAAUAUGAACCUGUCUCAAGGGCUAUACCGAAGGGUAGGCGUCGAACGUGACGGAUCGAUCGUGACAAGCGACCCCCGACAUGCUACCCUGUUCCAGCACCCCAAGAUUCUUUUGUUCUCCGCAAAUUGUCGUAGGUUAUGAUUUUCCUUGGCCGUGAUCCGAACAACAGAUUUCUCGGUCUCAUAUUACCCUGUCACAUGGAGGAGUUGCUCCAUUGUCCUCAGCUUUCUUGGGUCGUUCAAGACACCGCAUCUCCGCGUAUCCAUGCAAAGCAUUCUUCUUGCAUCGUCGUUCUAUCCGCACGGAACAGAGCGAUCCGGUGUUCCCGACGUACACAAAAUGGCCGGGUCAGGUAAAAAUUCAGUUGGACCACUUCUCGACUCCUUUGGAAUGUUAACUCCACCGCGAUCAUUCACUCCUUGCACCCGGCUUCUGCAAAUUACUCUUCGCUCAUGAAAUCCUGAUACUUAAUGGUACUCAACUGUCACCGAUCAUCGCUGAUUGAUUUAUGCCCUUGACCCGGAGGUUUAUAGAUAGAAGGGUCUUAUGCAAUGGGAAGCUACUGGUGUGGCAACGUUAUCUUUGCAAUUGGGUAAGCGGUGUUUUGAAACCCUAUUCUUGCUUUUGGAUCCGUAGAUUUCCGAGUAGAGAAAAUAAGUGGUGCUCGAUAUCUGUGAAUGUGGGACUUGUGCUUACCCUAGGGCCUAGGCUAAUCUGUAGUACCCCAGGUCCUAGGACUUUGAUUGUCCUGGCUUCUUAUGUCCUAGAGCUCUUUUGACUUUCUCCAACUUCUCAUGUUUUUUAAAAAUGACUACUUUUCAAAGUCUAAUGAAUUUCAUUGUGUUACUAUUUCAGAUUGUAGCCAGCAUACUCUCGCAUUUCUCGAGUACCCAAACCAUUCCAUUUCUGAAGGACGCAGUCAGUCAUAUCACAUCGAAUAUCGAGAAAAAAAAAACUGGACCAACUUUUUUCGAUACCAGGAGGUCAUAGAACGUCCGUGGUCAGCCCGUCAACGGCAGGUGGGCCGUUCGUGGGGUUUCCAAUCAAUCGGUACCUUCCGGUGUUAUCAGAGUAACAUAAGUCCGGCGGGAAAACCGAACUUUCCUAUCGUUCGCAAGAAAAACGUGCGUGUCCCCCGAUGCGUCGCUCCUGAUAAACGGCGACGCGACCAAGACUUUUACGAGCCCCGAAAGAAAUCGUGGUAAGAAAAGAAGAUUCAUGGGGUGUCGGUGGUUCGAGACAACCCCCGUCCUUCAUUGCUUUCACAUAUGAGAACGUCUGGACGAUUGGAAUCGAAGGAAAGGGGUUUUAGUCGCUCAAGUGCUUCGAGUCACACAUCGUGACAGGGAUGCUAUGAGGGUUCAGGAGGUGUCCUAAUAUUCGUGGGGUCGUUCACCCCAAAAACAUUUCGAACGGGAGUGGUGGACGUCAAUUGAUUUUUUCUGGAUGAUUGAAUUUUAGCGGCGGUUUUGGUAUUCGUUGUAUUGCACUCGGUAUAAAUUAGUGGCUGGAUUCUCAUUUGUGUAAUUAGGGGGUUCAGGGGAGACUGUUUAAUUCCCUCACAGUUUAUUUCUCGGAGAAGAAAAUAUUGAACUUUAGCGUUUCAUAUUGAACUUUAACACCUUAAGUAGGUGCAUAUGUUACAUAUGAAAGUUUAGUAUAAGGUAUUCUUUUAGAUUCAAACUGAGUUUGUAUACAUUUAUACAUAUUUUGUUUAUUUUUGAAAUUCAUGUUAAACAUAUUCAGAGAGGUUGAAGACCGUUUGACAAUAGUGAGGUUAUGUCUAAGUUAAUCUGAUUUUUUAUAAAGCAAGAAAAUACAUAGCAGAGAAAUAGCAAAUUACUGAUUCACCAAUUUAAGUGUAGCAUCUAGUUAAAUAUAGUUAAACUAUAUUUGCAAUGUACUUAUUAUCAUUGUUGUAUAACAAAAAAAUUUACGGUUCUAAUUAUCAAAACCCGUCAGGCUUACUUUUCCCUUUCGUUAAGGUCCGAUCAAUAUCUGUUCGAACCUGCGCACUUGCAGCGACUCUCGCUUUCACCCUUCGAUUUCCAAGCCUUUCAGUCUGGUAGCUCCUUCGCACUAGACGCCCAUUAGUCUGACAGCUUGAAACCGACAAAAGAACCGAAAUGUAUGAUUCAAACCAAAUAAGCAGACGUAUAAAAAUGCUUCUUGCAAACAAACACCCCUCAUACGUUGCAAAAAUCUGAAGUAUCAUAUGUAUAAAAUAUCUGAAAAACCAAAUAUAAAAUAUCUGAAAUAACCAAAUAUCUUAAAGGAUGAAACUGACAAAGAAUAUCAGACCAUUUCACACAGUCAUAGAGUGACGUUAGAGUAACAUGGCUGCCAUAAAAAUUAAUCCAUCCUUGCAACGCAAUUAUCCAUAAGUCAUGCAAUGUCUGAUAGUCUACAUACAUACACCUAAUACAAACUUGAUAAACAGUAUGAAACUCAAAGUCCACAAUCGCCUGUCAAAACUGUCCAUUAACGCAUCAGAUCGAUGGCAUCAUAACUGGCUGAAGCACAAGGAGAGAAUGAAGCCUAAGGAGGUCUCAGCAUCCAGCUAAGUCGUUCUAACGGCCAGCCAUCCGAGCCCUACAUCCCGGAGUCCCAUUCAAAUGCGCCGAGUUAAAGGGUCGAGUUCCGAUCGUCCCGAUAAUUGGAAGGGCUAUCGGCAGUCUAUUGGUUUGAUCCCUCGUUCCCAGGCUACCAGAAGCACGCCGGUGGUCGUACGAAAUUCAUCUGUGUCCCACCGUGUACAUACACACCUCUCCGUCAGUGUGGCGCUCUUCAAGGUUCGUUGGACGCGCUUUCGAAAGCGUGAUCGGACAGGUCGGAAGUGGACCUGGAUUGGUACGUAUGUACUCGUAGGCGGACUACCCCGUGACAGGAAUAAUUUAAUCCGGUGCCCGAGGGAAAGGGUUGAAUAAAAUAUAUUCACAUAUUCGUAGCAGGCUGGUAUGCGACACCAGGAGGCUCAACGGUUGGACAAAGCCCUUUGGGGCGUUAUGGUGCUCUGGUGACUCGUCCUGUUCUUCGGAAACUGUCGUUUCCACUUCGGACCACAGGAAGGGAAACGGGUGGAGAAUUAAUGGGUGGAGAGGAUUCGGGUUACUGGUGUGGGAGAGAAAGGGUUCGUCUCGUCGGGAUUCCACCCACGCUUUUUUCACAGGAUAGCAUCCUCGCGAGGAACCCCCUCGACUCGCGGAGCUGCUUAGCGUUCCAGGAUUUCGAUUACUUGGACUUGAUUAGCGUCAAACUAUCACCAUCUUCUCUCAUACCAAAAAUUUAGCAUUUGAGAGAUUUGAGAGAUGUUUAAACAAAAAUGAGACAGUGUUGCAAAGUGAGACAGUGUUAUACAGUGAGACAGUGUUUUAAAAUGACAUAGUGCUUCACAUAAGUGCAUACAUGCUGUGUUAUGUCAUUUAUGACGUCCUACCCUGAGCUAUCAAGGUACACACAGUCUGCCAUUCACAUUUGUUCAAGAUGUGUCAUCCAUCAAGACAGUGGACUAUGAAAACAGUCCUAUGAAAGUUAGCCUAACCCCAUGCUGCCCCAAAUGAAAGGGUUCCGUCUUCACCUUCCGCCUGCAAACCUCCUACGUCCUGAUGGCUGCCUGAACAUUGUCACCUGCGGUGUAAUUAAUAUUCAUGUAUACCCUCAUGAAUAUGAUCCUACACGACACGUGCACAAUUGUAAUCAGAUUAUUCCAGAGCCCCCAUGCCAAACAUCCUCCGGAGGAUUUGAACUCGUUUCAUCCUACACAGAUUCGGUGGAUUGUGCAGGUAUCAGGGUGUCAUGAAAGUCCCAACCGAUUAUUGGAUGACACACAAAAGUGUUAGGGCAACAUAAAUCCAAGCUUCUUGCGCGUGAAAGGGGAUUAAGGAUGUAACAACGAACGAGACAAUUCUGGACAAUACAAGAGUAAACAAGGGGAUCAGGACAGGAUGAACGGCGAGGAGGAUGGACGGACGAAUUGGGGUGCGACAAACUAGGGGUGGCACGAAUUGCGGUUCAUUCUCCGCCAGGAGGCGGUUCGGAGGGUUAAUGGAUUGUGUCAUCGGGGUUCGGAUAGGGGAGGUUUCAUACCGUUUGCCGAGUCUUAAUGUAGGAUUUAUGUAUCGAUUUUAGAGUUGUCUUAUUUCUGACGUCUGUAGAUGUUAAUAAAAUUAAUUUUUGA
rnacentral:lncRNA from 1 species